GAUGAAAGAACGCAGCGAAAUGCGAUAAGUAGUGUGAAUUGCAGAAUUCAGUGAAUCAUCGAAUCUUUGAACGCACAUUGCGCCCUUUGGUAUUCCUUAGGGCAUGCCUGUUCGAGCGUCAUUUAAACCUUCAAGCUAAGCUUGGUGUUGGGUGACUGUCCGCUUCACGGCGGACUCGCCUCAAAAUUAUUGGCGGCCGGUACAUUGGCUUCGAGCGCAGCAGAAACGCGAACUCGGGCCCGUCGUAUUGGCUCCCAGAAGCUAUCUUCACAAUUUUGACCUCGGAUCAGGUAGGGAUACCCGCUGAACUUAAGCAUAUCAAUAAGCGGAGGA
rnacentral:misc_RNA from 1 species